GGGGCUGAUUCUGGAUUCGACGGGAUUAGCGAAGCCCAAGGUGCACGUCGAGGUGCGGUAGGCCUCGUAAAUAAACCGCAAAAUAAUAGUCGCAAACGACGAACAAUACGCUUUAGCAGCUUAAUAACCUGCUCAUAGCCUUCUCUCUCUAGCUUUCGCUCGUAAGACGGAGAUUAAGGGAAGUCAUUCAAAACGAGAUCGUGUGGAAGCCGCUGUUUGAGGAACGAAACACUAAAUUGAACCAAACUAGCUUAAUUAUCGCGUGUCUGUCCGCAGUGGUUAAGUGAAAUUAAAGAUUAGACUAAACGUGUAGUACUGACGGUAGAGUAAUUUCGGACGCGGGUUCAACUCCCGCCAGCUCCACCA
rnacentral:tmRNA from 1 species